rnacentral:rRNA from 1 species
AACCUGGUUGAUCCUGCCAGUAGUCAUAUGCUUGUCUUAAAGAUUAAGCCAUGCAUGUCUAAGUAUAAAUAGUAUACAGUGAAACUGCGAACGGCUCAUUAAAACAGUUAUAGUUUAUUUGAUAAUUGAAUGCUACAUGGAUAACCGUGGUAAUUCUAGAGCUAAUACAUGCUGUCAAACCUGACUUUUUGAGGGGUUGUAUUUAUUAGAUAUUAAACCAAUAGCUUCGGCUGUGGUGAUGAUUCAUAAUAACUGAUCGAAGCGAGGCUAGCCUCGCUAAAUCAUUCAAGUUUCUGCCCUAUCAGCUUUUCGAUGGUAGUGUAUUGGACUACCAUGGCAAUCACGGGUAACGGGGAAUUAGGGUCCGAUUCCGGAGAGGGAGCCUGAGAAACGGCUACCACUUCUAAGGAAAGCAGCAGGCGCGUNUUACCCCANUCCCCGAUUCGGGGAGGUA